rnacentral:lncRNA from 1 species
GCGGAUCCUCAGGUAAUGGGUCGGGUCGACGCGCGGAUCCACCCCCACCAAAACGGCGCCGUUUUGUGUUUAGUAUAAAUAAUAAGAAAAAUCAAAAAAAUCAAAUCAGUUUCAUCUUUAAAAAAAAACAGAGAGAGAGAGCUCUCUCCUCUCUCAUCUUCCUCCCCAGAAUCCGGCCGCCUCCGGUCAUGGAGCCGUCGCGCCGGCCACCGUACACGGUGGCCGGAAAAUUCAAAAGGUAUGUUUUUCUUUUUUUUUUUAUAUGUUAUGUAUAUAGUUUAAAAGAUAAAAGAAACAAAAUCAAACACGAAUAAUUCGAAAGAAAAAAAAUAAAGAAAAAAAAACUAAAAAAAAGAAAAUAAAUAUACCGAAAAUGGGGUUGUUGAAUUUUGUUUUUUAUUUCUUAUUUCUUGAAUUUUUUUGCAAAAAGGGGAAAAGGGGGGGGGGCCUCUGUUACAGAGAGGAUACUUGGCUUUAUAGCCAAUUUUACAUGCUAUUUUAGUCUUUUUUUUCUUUUUCUCUGUUUGCCACUGUGCUUUGCGUGAUUUUCUUCUUUGCAGGCAAGUGGGGUGAUGGGCGAGCGGCAGAGCAGGUGGAGCAGGUGAGCAGCGAUGGGACGCCGGUAUGGGUUCUUUUGUUUCUUUCUUGGGUCCGGGCAAAUGGGCCUGCAACAUGCUUUAUAUAUCUUAAAAGAUUCCAAAAAGAUAUGUAAAUGCUAGCCUGAUAGUAAGUCGAUUCAUCCAUGUAUAGUCAUGUCCUUAGCUGUAUAUAGGCUUCUACAACCAUUUAACCCACCAAGUUGGUGGUCCUUGUUUUUUCUAGCUAAGUACUCUGUAAGCAUUAUUGAAGAGCUCUUAUUUUGGCCACAUAUUAUUGCUGUACAUUGGAAUCCCUUUUUGUUUUUGGGAAGAAGAAAAGGUAUCUUUGAAUCAUUGAAUCCCUAUUCACAUGUAUGUUUCCUAUAUGAAUUUCUUGUUUCAACAUUGAAUGGUUAAUGAACCAAUUCCCAAUACACCGUUGAAUGCUUAUCUUUAGAUUCUUUUGCAUUGGCUAUAAUCAUUCCUAGUUAUGAGCCAAUUUACAAGAUACAAGUGUUUUAUGUAGUGGGAAAAAGAAAUAGUAGAAAUGUCUUGGGAUUCGGUUUUCAUUGAGCUAUCUAAUUAGAGAUGACAAUGAAACGGGUGGGAGUAUAUUUUGCUAAAUCUACCAUUGUUCUAUAGUUGAUAUGUUCUGCUCCACCAUCCG